UACCAGCACCCCGAGUGGUCGGGACGUUUAUUGGGCCUAAAGCAUCCGUAGCCGGUUCUACAAGUCUUCCGUUAAAUCCACCUGCUUAACAGAUGGGCUGCGGAAGAUACUAUGGAGCUAGGAGGCGGGAGAGGCAAGCGGUACUCGAUGGGUAGGGGUAAAAUCCGUUGAUCCAUUGAAGACCACCAGUGGCGGAGGCGGCUUGCCAGAACGCGCUCGACGGUGAGGGAUGAAAGCUGGGGGAGCAAACCGG
rnacentral:rRNA from 1 species